rnacentral:rRNA from 1 species
CCUACGGGAGGCAGCAGUGAGGAAUAUUGGUCAAUGGACGGAAGUCUGAACCAGCCAUGCCGCGUGCAGGAUGACGGCUCUAUGAGUUGUAAACUGCUUUUGUACGAGAAUAAUAGUUCUUACGUGUAGGGAUUUGAAUGUAUCGUACGAAUAAGGAUCGGCUAACUCCGUGCCAGCAGCCGCGGUAAUACGGAGGAUUCGAGCGUUAUCCGGAUUUAUUGGGUUUAAAGGGUGCGUAGGCGGAUUUUUAAGUCAGCGGUAAAAUGUCCGGGCUCAACCCGGGCCGGCCGUUGAAACUGGGGAUCUUGAGUGGGCGAGAAGUAUGCGGAAUGCGUGGUGUAGCGGUGAAAUGCAUAGAUAUCACGCAGAACUCCGAUUGCGAAGGCAGCAUACCGGCGCCCGACUGACGCUGAGGCACGAAAGCGUGGGGAUCGAACAGGAUUAGAUACCCUGGUAGUC